GAGUAACGCGUAGGUAAUCUACCCUAAUAUUUGGGAUAACAUUGGGAAACUGGUGCUAAUACCAGAUACCCUUCUUUUCUGUCGGGUUAAGGAGGAAAGGUGGCCUCUUCAUGAAAGCCACCGUUUAAGGAUGAGCCUGCGUACCAUUGGCUAGUAGGUGGGGUAAUGGCCCACCUAGGCAACGAUGGUUAGCGGGUCUGAGAGGAUGAUCCGCCACACUGGAACUGGAACACGGACCAG
rnacentral:rRNA from 1 species